rnacentral:rRNA from 1 species
UACGUAGGGGCUAGCGUUAUCCGGAAUUACUGGGCGUAAAGGGUGCGUAGGUGGUUUCUUAAGUCAGAGGUGAAAGGCUACGGCUCAACCGUAGUAAGCCUUUGAAACUGGGAAACUUGAGUGCAGGAGAGGAGAGUGGAAUUCCUAGUGUAGCGGUGAAAUGCGUAGAUAUUAGGAGGAAUACCAGUUGCGAAGGCGGCUCUCUGGACUGUAACUGACACUGAGGCACGAAAGCGUGGGGAGCAAACAGGAUUAGAUACCCGCGUAGUCCCUGAG